UAAAGUAAACUGUCAAUGAAUAUACAUAAUCUGAAGUUUAAAAAAAUAAUAGUUUGCUAUGAAUCCCUAGGCUAAGCAAUUAGGUGAAGGCGAGGAAUUUGAAAUGAUAAAACGGCUAGUUUGAAAAGUGACGUCACUGAAAACAUGAAACGUGAUUGGCUGAAGAGUCGAAGUGUGAGAACGGGAGCGACGGAACGUUAUUUUGGCCCCAGUAGUGCCCGGGGACGGUUGUGUAGGUGUGGUGGUAGUGGUGGUCUGUAACCUGAUGCUUGAGCCGUGUUUUUUUGGUUCGCUACGGCGACCAGACCCGUACGUAAACCCACCACUACCUUGUACACCGUCCAACCGUAACUACUGUGGGGAACACUCCUGCCCCUUAUCCCAGUUUUUAAUCAUAGUUUUGUUAUAAUUUGUAUGAUAAUUGUUUGUUUUAUUUCGUUGACAGAUGAGGAAGGCGUUGUGGGUGACCGUUAACAGCGUUUUGAUGGUAGAAGCCUCGCCCAACAACUACUGCUCUGAAGUCUGAUGUUCCGGUGAAAUAAAUGUUGACGUAGCAGUUUCAAGGUGAGAUGUGGGCACCCUGGACGUGGCAGCUAUGAGGUGCAGGGUCUACUUAGCUCUACCGACUGACUUGGCGCUGUUGUUUCUCUCCCAUAGCAGGUACAUGAGUGCGACGCAGUUGAUGCAUUAUGAAGAGUAAAGUUGGUUGCUGAUAUAUAGGACAUUAUCAAGAAUAUAACGCGAGAAGUGGACUUACAGACGCCUGGGUGUAGACAGUUCUGUAUCAGAGUGAAAAUAAAAGUAGA